AUGCAAGUCGAACGGUAACAGGAAACAGCUUGCUGUUUCGCUGACGAGUGGCGGACGGGUGAGUAAUGUCUGGGAAACUGCCUGAUGGAGGGGGAUAACUACUGGAAACGGUAGCUAAUACUGCAUAACGUCGCAAGACCAAAGAGGGGGACCCUCGGGCCUCUUGCCAUCGGAUGUGCCCAGAUGGGAUUAGCUUGUUGGUGGGGUAACGGCUCACCAAGGCGACGAUCCCUAGCUGGUCUGAGAGGAUGACCAGCCACACUGGAACUGAGACACGGUCCAGACUCCUACGGGAGGCAGCAGUGGGGAAUAUUGCACAAUGGGCGCAAGCCUGAUGCAGCCAUGCCGCGUGUAUGAAGAAGGCCUUCGGGUUGUAAAGUACUUUCAGCGGGGAGGAAGGGAGUAAAGUUAAUACCUUUGCUCAUUGACGUUACCCGCAGAAGAAGCACCGGCUAACUCCGUGCCAGCAGCCGCGGUAAUACGGAGGGUGCAAGCGUUAAUCGGAAUUACUGGGCGUAAAGCGCACGCAGGCGGUUUGUUAAGUCAGAUGUGAAAUCCCCGGGCUCAACCUGGGAACUGCAUCUGAUACUGGCAAGCUUGAGUCUCGUAGAGGGGGGUAGAAUUCCAGGUGUAGCGGUGAAAUGCGUAGAGAUCUGGAGGAAUACCGGUGGCGAAGGCGGCCCCCUGGACGAAGACUGACGCUCA
rnacentral:rRNA from 1 species